rnacentral:rRNA from 1 species
GGAUGCGAUCAUACCAGCACUAAAGCACCGGAUCCCAUCAGAACUCCGAAGUUAAGCGUGCUUGGGCGAGAGUAGUACUAGGAUUGGUGACCUCCUGGGAAGUCCUCGUGUUGCAUUCCC